AUUGAACGCUGGCGGCAGGCCUAACACAUGCAAGUCGAGCGGAUGAAGGGAGCUCGCUCCUGGAUUCAGCGGCGGACGGGUGAGUAAUGCCUAGGAAUCUGCCUGGUAGUGGGGGAUAACGUCCGGAAACGGGCGCUAAUACCGCAUACGUCCUGAGGGAGAAAGUGGGGGAUCUUCGGACCUCACGCUAUCAGAUGAGCCUAGGUCGGAUUAGCUAGUUGGUGGGGUAAAGGCCUACCAAGGCGACGAUCCGUAACUGGUCUGAGAGGAUGAUCAGUCACACUGGAACUGAGACACGGUCCAGACUCCUACGGGAGGCAGCAGUGGGGAAUAUUGGACAAUGGGCGAAAGCCUGAUCCAGCCAUGCCGCGUGUGUGAAGAAGGUCUUCGGAUUGUAAAGCACUUUAAGUUGGGAGGAAGAGCAGUAAGUUAAUACCUUGCUGUUUUGACGGUACCAACAGAAUAAGCACCGGCUAACUUCGUG
rnacentral:rRNA from 1 species